UACGGAGGGUGCAAGCGUUAUCCGGAUUUACUGGGUUUAAAGGGUGCGUAGGUGGGUUGGUAAGUCAGUGGUGAAAUACUUUCGCUUAACGAAGGAACUGCCAUUGAUACUACCAGUCUUGAAUACAGUGGAGGUAGGCGGAAUGCGUCAUGUAGCGGUGAAAUGCUUAGAUAUGACGCAGAACACCAAUUGCGAAGGCAGCUUGCUACACUGUUAUUGACACUGAGGCGCGAAAGCUAGGGGAGCAAACGGG
rnacentral:rRNA from 1 species